ACCUGGGUGGCUCAGUUGGUUGGGCAUCUGACUUCGGCUCAGGUCAUGAUCUCACUGCUUGUAGGUUUGAACCCUACAUUGGGCU
rnacentral:tRNA from 1 species